rnacentral:rRNA from 1 species
GUGCCAGCCGCCGCGUAAUUCCAGCUCCAAUAGCGUAUAUUAAAGUUGUUGUGGUUAAAAAGCUCGUAGUUGAACCUUGGGCCUGGCGGGCCGGUCCGCCUCACCGCGUGCACUGGUCCGGCCGGGCCUUUCCCUCUGUGGAACCCCAUACCCUUCACUGGGCGUGGCGGGGAAACAGGACAUUUACUUUGAAAAAAUUAGAGUGCUCCAGGCAGGCCUAUGCCCGAAUACAUUAGCAUGGAAUAAUAAAAUAGGACGCGCGGUUCUAUUUUGUUGGUUUAUAGGACCGCCGUAAUGAUUAAUAGGGACAGUCGGGGGCAUCAGUAUUCAACUGUCAGAGGUGAAAUUCUUGGAUCAGUUGAAGACUAACUACUGCGAAAGCAUUUGCCAAGGAUGUUUUCAUUAAUCAGGAACGAAAGUUAGGGGAUCGAAGACGAUCAGAUACCGUCGUAGUCUUAACCAUAAACUAUGCCGACUAGGGAUCGGAUGGUGUUAUUCAUGACCCGUUCGGCACCUUACGAGAAAUCAAAGUGCUUGGGCUCCAGGGGGAGUAUGGUCGCAAGGCUGAAACUUAAAGAAAUUGACGGAAGGGCACCACCAGGGGUGGAGCCUGCGGCUUAAUUUGACUCAACACGGGGAAACUCACCAGGUCCAGACACAAUAAGGAUUGGACAGAUUGAGAGCUCUUUCUUGAUUUUGUGGGUGGGGGUGCAUGGCCCGUUCUUAAGUUGGUGGGGGUGACUCGUCUGCUUUAAUUGCGAUAACGAAACGAGAGACGUUAAACCUGCUUAAUAGACCCGGCAAUUGUUCCGGGCAGUGCGCUGGGCUUUCUUAAGAGGGAU